rnacentral:rRNA from 1 species
CACGUAGGGUGCGAGCGUUGUCCGGAAUUAUUGGGCGUAAAGAGCUCGUAGGCGGCUUGUCACGUCGAUUGUGAAAGCCCGAGGCUUAACCUCGGGUCUGCAGUCGAUACGGGCUAGCUAGAGUGUGGUAGGGGAGAUCGGAAUUCCUGGUGUAGCGGUGAAAUGCGCAGAUAUCAGGAGGAACACCGGUGGCGAAGGCGGGUCUCUGGGCCGUAACUGACGCUGAGGAGCGAAAGCGUGGGGAGCGAACAGG